rnacentral:tRNA from 1 species
GCUAGCGUAGCUCAACCGGUAGAGCUCCUGAUUUGUAAUCAGGAGGUUAUGGGUUCGAGUCCCAUCGCUAGCUCCA